rnacentral:rRNA from 1 species
AUUGAACGCUGGCGGCAGGCCUAACACAUGCAAGUCGAACGAGUGGCGGACGGGUGAGUAAUGUCUGGGAAACUGCCUGAUGGAGGGGGAUAACUACUGGAAACGGUAGCUAAUACCGCAUACCAUCGGAUGUGCCCAGAUGGGAUUAGCUAGUAGGUGGGGUAAAGGCUCACCUAGGCGACGAUCCCUAGCUGGUCUGAGAGGAUGACCAGCCACACUGGCACUGAGCCACGGUUCAGAAUCCUACGGGAGGCAGCAGUGGGGAAUAUGGCACAAUGGGCGCAAGCCUUAUGCAGCCAUGACGCGUGUAUGAAGAAGGCCUUCGGGUUGUAAAGUACUUUCAGCGGAGAGGCGUUACCCGCUGAAGAAGCACCGGCUAACUCCGUGCCAGCAGCCGCGGUAAUAC